GACGAACGCUGGCGGCGUGCCUAAUACAUGCAAGUCGAACGCAGUGGGGACGGGUGAGUAACACGUGGGUAACCUCCCCAUCAGAGGGGAUAACACUUGGAAACAGGUGCUAAACCGAUACUGAUGGAUGGACCCGCGGGGCAUAAGCUAGUUGGGGAGGUAACGGCUCACCAAGGCCACGAUGCAUAGCGGACCUGAGAGGGGGAUAGGCCACACUGGGACUGAGACACGGCCCAGACGCCUACGGGAGGCAGAAGUGGGGAAUCUUCGGCAAUGGACGAAAGUCUGACCGAGCAACGCCGCGUGAGUGAAGAAGGUUUUCGGAUCGUAAAACUCUGGUGUGCGAGAAGCGGUAUCUAACCAGAAAGCCACGGCUAACUACGUGCCAGCAGCCGCGGUAAUUC
rnacentral:rRNA from 1 species